ensembl:lncRNA
CAAUGGGUUAUAAAUAUACAUGUGGAAGUCAACAGACGGUAAGGAGAAGAUAAGUGGAGGGAAAAUAGAGAGAGAGAGAGACAGGCAAAGGGAGAGAGAGAGAGACAGAGACAGGCAGAGAGAGAGAGACAGAGACAGGCAGAGGGAGAGAGACAGAGACAGGCAGAGGGAGAGAGAAAGACAGGCAGAGGGAGAGAGAGAGACAGAGACAGGCAGAGAGACAGAGACAGAGACAGAGACAGGCAGAGGGAGAGAGAGAGAGACAGAGACAGGCAGAGGGAGAGAGAGAGACAGAGACAGGCAGAGAGAGAGAGAGAGAGACAGAGACAGAGACAGGCAGAGGGAGAGAGAGAGACAGAGACAGGCAGAGGGAGAGAGAGAGAGAGAGCGA